rnacentral:lncRNA from 1 species
AAAACAUCUCUCCUGAACCAACAUCACUAAUGAAAGCAACCUGUCCUCCUGCCCCUCAGAAUCUGGAACCGGAUCCUCUAAUGAUGUCAUAAGACCUGAGCUGUAUUCACCUAGGAAUCAUGUUGUAAAAUACUCAAGAAAGCACAGGUGAGUCUUUGUCCUUGAAGAGGGCAAAUUAAAGAGAAGGUGGCAGGUAUCAAAGGCAGGUGGUGACUCUUCCUAUUGCUUUCUGAUGUCUCCAAGGCCAAUCCCUGAAUGCAUGGCCCCUCUAGGGAAUCAUGACCCAGGAUCCCAAACCACUGGGAGAAAUCUUCACUC